rnacentral:lncRNA from 1 species
UUAUACUCCAGAGACAGUUACCUUGUGCAUGUGUGUAGGGUUCUAGUUCAGGUGGUGAAGUUACUUUACCCGGUUUGGUACCCUUGGUGACGCGACCGGCUCCUUUAAGAGGUGCAGGAAUGCAUUCACUCGUACCUGAUCAGCAAGACGACACACAUGAUACCAGCAGAUAUAGGAAGCAGAAAGCGGUUGUCUCUCUCUUGCGUGGAGUUCAGAGUGACUUCAACUUCAGGCAGAUCAGAGGAUCUUCCAGCCACUACAUGACAGCGCUACAGCAGACCGGAUACAGAGUUCUCUCCACUUUCCCUAACACUGAUCCUGACACCAGGUACAAGUGUCACAGUGUACCCAGACCUCCUCCUCCUCCUCCUCCUCUGUAACAAAAAGUCAUAGACGCACUAUGUGUGUCAUGAAUUUCAGCUUUGGCCUUGUGUGUUGUUGUUCAUCUUUGGAGCUUAGAUCGAACUUAAACUGACAAUUUAUUUAUCUGGAAUUGUGUCAAUAUAAAAAGACAUUAAAUGUAUAUUUUCUAUUCAAGACUUUGAGUGGUGU